rnacentral:rRNA from 1 species
AGCGAACGCUGGCGGCAGGCCUAACACAUGCAAGUCGAACGAUCCUUCGGGAUAGUGGCGGACGGGUGAGUAACACGUGGGAACGUGCCCUUUGGUUCGGAACAACUCAGGGAAACUUGAGCUAAUACCGAAUGUGCCCUUCGGGGGAAAGAUUUAUUGCCAUUGGAGCGGCCCGCGUCUGAUUAGCUAGUUGGUGAGGUAAUGGCUCACCAAGGCGACGAUCAGUAGCUGGUCUGCGAGGAUGAUCAGCCACACUGGGACUGAGACACGGCCCAGACUCCUACGGGAGGCAGCAGUGGGGAAUCUUGCGCAAUGGGCGAAAGCCUGACGCAGCCAUGCCGCGUGAAUGAUGAAGGUCUUAGGAUUGUAAAAUUCUUUCACCGGGGACGAUAAUGACGGUACCCGGAGAAGAAGCUCCGGCUAACCUCGUGCCAGCCGCCGCGGUAACAC